rnacentral:rRNA from 1 species
UGACGAGUGGCGGACGGGUGAGUAAUGCUUGGGAACAUGCCUUUGCGAGGGGGAUAACAGUUGGAAACGACUGCUAAUACCGCAUAACGUCUUAGGACCAAAGGGGGCUUAGGCUCUCGCGUGAAGAGUGGCCCAAGUGAGAUUAGCUAGUUGGUGAGGUAAAGGCUCACCAAGGCGACGAUCUCUAGCUGUUCUGAGAGGAAGAUCAGCCACACUGGGACUGAGACACGGCCCAGACUCCUACGGGAGGCAGCGGUGGGGAAUAUUGCACAAUGGGGGGAACCCUGAUGCAGCCAUGCCGCGUGUGUGAAGAAGGCCUUCGGGUUGUAAAGCACUUUCAGUUGUGAGGAAGGGGUGGUUGUUAAUACCAGCCAUCAUUGACGUUAGCAACAGAAGAAGCACCGGCUAACUCCGUGCCAGCAGCCGCGGUAAUACGGAGGGUGCGAGCGUUAAUCGGAAUUACUGGGCGUAAAGCGCACGCAGGCGGUUGUAUAAGCUAGAUGUGAAAGCCCCGGGCUCAACCUGGGAUGGUCAUUUAGAACUGUACGACUAGAGUCUUGGAGAGGGGAGUGGAAUUCCACGUGUAGCGGUGAAAUGCGUAGAUAUGUGGAGGAACAUCAGUGGCGAAGGCGACUCCCUGGCCAAAGACUGACGCUCAUGUGCGAAAGUGUGGGUAGCGAACAGGAUUAGAUACCCUGGUAGUCCACACCGUAAACGCUGUCUACUAGCUGUGUGUAAAUUUAAUUUGUGCGUAGCGAAGCUAACGCGCUAAGUAGACCGCCUGGGGAGUACGGCCGCAAGGUUAAAACUCAAAUGAAUUGACGGGGCCCGCACAAGCGGUGGAGCAUGUGGUUUAAUUCGAUGCACGCGA